rnacentral:rRNA from 1 species
GACGAACGCUGGCGGCGUGCUUAACACAUGCAAGUCGAACGGAAAGGCCCUGCUUUUGUGGGGUGCUCGAGUGGCGAACGGGUGAGUAACACGUGAGUAACCUGCCCUUGACUUUGGGAUAACUUCAGGAAACUGGGGCUAAUACCGGAUAGGAGCUCCUGCUGCAUGGUGGGGGUUGGAAAGUUUCGGCGGUUGGGGAUGGACUCGCGGCUUAUCAGCUUGUUGGUGGGGUAGUGGCUUACCAAGGCUUUGACGGGUAGCCGGCCUGAGAGGGUGACCGGCCACAUUGGGACUGAGAUAAGGCCCAGACUCCUACGGGAGGCAGAAGUGGGGAAUAUUGCACAAUGGGCGGAAGCCUGAUGCAGCAACGCCGCGUGCGGGAUGACGGCCUUCGGGUUGUAAACCGCUUUCGCCUGUGACGAAGCGUGAGUGACGGUAAUGGGUAAAGAAGCACCGGCUAACUACGUG